UGAAAACGAGCUAGGGACAAGGAGAGAUCAAAGGAAGUCUCAGCACGCGCCACCUGUGGUGGGGACUGUAGGAGAUGUAGAAGCAACAUGCUGAUGUGACUCCAGGUGGUGCAGCAGCCGGACGUUCAAGCUGACCGCAUCUGCGGAAGCGCGCGGUGUCUAUACUACAUUCCAAUGAACGCAGCGCUUUUCUGGAUGUGGUCGAGAGAUGGCAGCUCAGAGUAUAAAACUGUGCUCUGGCCGGACUGCAGCACACCUUCUCCCUCCAGCAUCAUCAAGGUCAGCGACAACAGCGCGUUGGACGUACGGAAUUCAGUUACCCGACAGUCUUUACCCUGCACACCGAUAAUGAACGCAAAGGUUACUUGUGCCCUGCUCCUCCUCUGCCUGGUUGUUAUGGCCGCCAGAACAUCUGCAUCGUGCAGCCACAGCAAAGUGGUGCCCAUCCCCUGGCCAAUCCACACGGGCUCCACCACUUCCUCCAGCAGCAACGACUUGGAGGGCGCCCUCCUGGCUGCGCUCAUCAUCCAACAACAGGCCGCCGCCGCCGCUGCUGCUGCUGCGGGCAAAUAAGAGACAAGUGUACAAGUGUGAUGCCAUUACUGACACGUCACACAGGCUGAGGGUGCUAGCGUGCUCUUUCGACCGGGUGCACGUGUUCUAGGUCGGCCGGUACGUGUGACCUCGUGCUUUGGGUGUUUUCGUUGUAUCGCGAGGCAAAAAAAUUAAAACAAAUUAAAACGAA